GGGAAACGACCAACAAUAGAUUUUAGUCCCACCUUGCCAAAGUUGACUGAAAUUGCCUCUCUUUCAUCCUAUAAAUACAACCCUUAGGUCAUUGCUUAGACUUGGGUUUUAUUUAGAUGAAAGUUUGUCAUAGUUGCAACCCGCAUACUUCGUUUGUGUCCUAUGGUGAGACCAAUACAUCUGAGAACACCAGUUCCAUUAAUAAAGCUUUAAUCUUAAUUUGCAGUAUCGAUAUUGCAAUAUUAGUUCAUUCUUGUCCUUUGUUUGCAUGCAUGAUCCUCUAGUAGGUUUAGUGUAGAUAGUACCUCGUGGUUAGGUCGAUCAUGCUCUGGUGUGGUUAAUAAACUCUUGGAGUUGGUUGAGCGAUUGCUAAGUUGCGACAUCUUUGCACGUUUGUAGUCGGAUAAUCAAAGUCUACUCCAUUAAAAAGGGUAGUUAACUUCUCAUUGAAAGACGAGACAUCUUCUCCUCUAUCAACAGGAGUCAUGAAUGGCUAGGAUUUCCUAAAGAGAUUUUUGGUUUCUUCUUGUGGAGUAUGUUCUCCAGUAUAGCUAUGCUCCCAAAAAGGGGAUCUUUUUAGGAAUCUUGUUUUGUUGGUAGCUUGUUAUCCAUUGGAAUCUUGGGUCUAGAUAUAUUUUACGAAGUACACAUUUGUUGGCGAGGAGGAGCUUAGGCGUGGCUAGAUUCUUGAGGUUAUGCAAUAAAUACGAAAUACCCUCCAACAUGCUUUGGUGUGGGCCUUUUAAUUAGUGUUCUUGGAUGAAUAAAUGGGUCUCGUUAGUGCCUAUGGGUAAAAUGUUUUCAAAUGUAUUUGACUUGGUGUCUUGCUAGAAUCUAGGUAUGCUUUCUAAGGUUCAUAUUCAUGGUGCAGUGUGUUGGUAUAUCAGGUGACACAAUGUGAC
rnacentral:lncRNA from 1 species